GUGGGUAUAGCUCAGUUGGUAGUAGCACUGGAUUGUGGUUCCAGGUGUCGUGGGUUCGAGUCCCAUUACCCACC
rnacentral:tRNA from 1 species